GCCAGGCGGAGUUUGGGGCGACACGGCGGUGAGGGGCUCCAAGCCCGAUCUGAUUUUGGGCGGUCCUGCGCCCAGAUCUCGAUGGCCGGUGGCGCCUGGAUUGGAGAGGCGGGAGCGGUGGUGCCGGUGGAUGCUGGUGGUUUCCCCUUGCAAGCGUGUGCACGCCCAACUCCUGGAGCAGGGGUGCCGUCCAGCAUGUUGGUGCUUGAGGAAGCUCGGGCAGACCAGAUCCAGCACGGAGGUCCGGUCCUUGCGCGCGGCGGUGCGAGCACGUUAAGUUUUGGCCUGGUUUUUGCUCUGUUUCGGCGCGCUGCGGUGCGGGCCGGUCAGCGAUGGUUCUACUUCAGUCUCUCCUGGUGCGCUGCGGUGCGAAGUCUCGCCCAGGUCUGCGCACGGAGCUGAAGGACGGCCGGAGUCGAUUGGGUUCGCCCAGGUCCUGCGAGCGGCGGUGCGGACCGGCCAGGUUGACGUGUGCUUGCCUAGGUUCUGCGUGCGGCGGCGACUAUCCCGUUGUCUGGUAGUGUGUGCUUGGCCUUGUUCUGCCCGGUGGUGCUGAUUUGGUCUCGGAUCCUGGAUGAUUGGCGGAAGGCUUAGCUCCGGAUGAAAAUCCUGCAUCGACUUCGUCGGUGCCGACGGUAACGGCAUCUAUGGAUGUCGUCUUCUUCCUUGGAAGUGCCGCCGUGGAGCUCAUUGCUCUUCCUGCCUCAUGGCUGAGGUCUCCGGGUGAAAACCUAAGAUCUGGCGGAGCUAGAUCGGAUGACGGCGGUGUUCUCGAUACCACUUCCUUCUUGGAGGCGUCAUCUUGGAGGCCUCGACGAUGGAUU
rnacentral:rRNA from 1 species